rnacentral:rRNA from 1 species
UACGUAGGGUGCGAGCGUUAAUCGGAAUUACUGGGCGUAAAGCAUGCGCAGGCGGUUUUGUAAGCCAGAUGUGAAAUCCCCGGGCUUAACCUGGGGGCUGCAUUUGAUACGUGUUGUCUUGAGUUCGGAAGAGGGUCGUGGAAUUCCCAGUGUAGAGGUGAAAUUCGUAGAUAUUGGGAAGAACACCGGUGGCGAAGGCGGCGACCUGGUCCGACACUGACGCUGAGGCGCGAAAGCGUGGGGAGCAAACAGG